rnacentral:tRNA from 1 species
GUUGAUGUAGCUUACACAAAGCAUGGCGCUGAAAAUGCUAAGACAGAUUUUAAAAUAUCUCAUAAACA